CGAUGCAACGCGAAGAACCUUACCUGGUCUUGCCAUCCACGGAAGUUUUCAGAGAUGAGAAUGUGCCUUCGGGAACCGUGAGACAGGUGCUGCAUGGCUGUCGUCAGCUCGUGUUGUGAAAUGUUGGGUUAAGUCCCGCAACGAGCGCAACCCUUAUCCUUUGUUGCCAGCGGUCCGGCCGGGAACUCAAAGGAGACUGCCAGUGAUAAACUGGAGGAAGGUGGGGAUGACGUCAAGUCAUCAUGGCCCUUACGACCAGGGCUACACACGUGCUACAAUGGCGCAUACAAAGAGAAGCGACCUCGCGAGAGCAAGCGAACCUCAUAAAGUGCGUCGUAGUCCGGAUUGGAGUCUGCAACUCGACUCCAUGAAGUCGGAAUCGCUAGUAAUCGUGGAUCAGAAUGCCACGGUGAAUACGUUCCCGGGCCUUGUACACACCGCCCGUCACACCAUGGGAGUGGGUUGCAAAAGAAGUAGGUAGCUUAACCUUCGGGAGGGCGCUUACCACUUUGUGAUUCAUAACUGGGGUGAAGUCGUAACAAGGUAACCGUAGGGGAACCUGCGGUUGGAUCACCUCCUUACCUUAAAGAA
rnacentral:rRNA from 1 species